GCAACCGGCUCCAGUCAUUCGCGCGCACAUCUUGGCAGACAGUAGUUUAGCUGCAGGCGCAGGAAAGUGGCUGGUUUGGCGAGUUUAAGUUCGUCAUUGUCGGUAAAUUAGGGGUGGAAAGUUAAAAGGUAACGAGGCUUCAUUAUAAUGAUCUGCUGGAUAACGCGACGAAAAUAAGAGCUGCGACUCUGCCGAGGCUCGAACCGGGGACCUCCUGACUACAGAGGACAACGCUGGCAUGGAGGAGUACAGCAGGCUUACAGAUGGAUGGAGACAUAACUGGAGGGCCCGAGACUCAUCUCUGUCGACUUUUUAAAGAAUCUGUGGACGUUGGCAAUAGAUUGUUGUAUUUAUUUUGUACUUUCAAAAUAAACAUAACUUUCGAAAGC